GACGAACGCUGGCGGCGUGCUUAACACAUGCAAGUCGAACGGCAAGGCCCUGCUUUCGUGGGGUGCUCGAGUGGCGAACGGGUGAGUAACACGUGAGUAACCUGCCCUUGACUUUGGUAUAACUUCAGGAAACUGGGGCUAAUACCGGAUAGGAGCUCCUGCUGCAUGGUGGGGGUUGGAUAGUUUCGGCGGUUGGGGAUGGAUUCGCGGCUUACCAGCUUGCUGGUGGGGUAGUGGCUUACCAAGGCUUUGACGGGUAGCCGGCCUGAGAGGGUGAACGGCGACAUGGGGACUGAGAUAGGCACCAGACUCCAACGGGAGGCAGCAGGGGGAAGUAUGGCACAGUGAGCGGGAGCGUGAUGAGGAAGCGCCGGGGGCGGGAUGACGGCCUUCGGGUUAUAAACAGCUUUAGCCUAUGACGAAGCGGGAGUGACGGUAAUGAGUAAAGAAGCACCGGCUAACUACGUG
rnacentral:rRNA from 1 species